rnacentral:rRNA from 1 species
CCUACGGGUGGCAGCAGUGAGGAAUAUUGGUCAAUGGGCGGAAGCCUGAACCAGCCAAGUAGCGUGCGGGAUGAAGGCCCUACGGAUCGUAAACCGCUUUUGCACGGGGAUAACACCCUCCACUUGUGGAGGUCUGCAGGUACCGUGCGAAUAAGGGCCGGCUAAUUCCGUGCCAGCAGCCGCGGUAAUACGGAAGGACCGAGCGUUAUCUGGCUUCAUUGGGCUUAAAGGGAGCGUAGGCGGGCGUUCAAGUCAGCUGUAAAAUCUCGCGGCUCAACCGCGCCCCGCAGUUGAAACUGGACGCCUGGAGUUCACAACAGGCAGGAGGAAUUCGGGGUGUAGCGGAGAAAUGGAUAGAUAUCACG